rnacentral:lncRNA from 1 species
CGAGGAGCAGCGAGGCGGCGGAGAGCAGCACGCAGGCGCUCCACAGCACGGCGUGGUCGCCGCUGAGCUGCCUCGCCCGCCUCCUCGCGCUCGCCAUCUCCAUGACGCGCUCUCCUCCCUCCUGUCCUGCCGCUGGACACUUGGGCGUAUCUGCGUGGCAUGGCACGGCACGAACGUAGUACAAAGGAUGAAUCACUUGGGUUUGAUCGCUUGCUGGCGUGCUCUAGUUGUUGCCGCUGGACGUUGGUUCUUGCUCUGUUUUGAGUACGGUUGCUUUCCCUGAAACAAAACGAGCAAGAGAGAACGGUUGCUCCUGGAUUUUGCGGAGGAACCGACGCGCUGGUGGUGGACGAAACUUGGCGCUGUGCGCUCCCGUCCCGGAGAGCCCGAAGAAGCGGCGAUGGUGGGGUGC